GAGUAAAGAAGAGAGAGAAAGAAGGAGAAAGGAAAAUAGGAAGAAGAAGAAGGGGAAGUUGGCUGUAGAGCUUCACCGGAGCUGGGUCUUGGUAUUUCGAGCCCAAAUUUAUGAUCAGCUCAUUGAGAUCUUCGAUUUGAGGAUUUGGAAAGAGUGUGGGUGAAGAUCUAAAGUAUUUGGAGGUUCUUGACCAAAAGAAGUGAAAUUUGGGGUUUCGUUGGUGUUCUUAAAGAAGAGGUUACACUCAAUAUACACGUACCCACACAUUAGAUCUUUUUCGUAUUAGGUACAAG